rnacentral:rRNA from 1 species
GCCUAACACAUGCAAGUCGAACGAAGCAUUUAAGUGAAUCCCUUCGGGGUGAAGCUUUUAUGACUUAGUGGCGGACGGGUGAGUAACGCGUGAGUAACCUGCCUUUCAGAGGGGGAUAACAGUUGGAAACGACUGCUAAUACCGCAUAACGUAUUUGAAUCGCAUGAUUCGGAUACCAAAGCUGAGGCGCUGAAAGAUGGACUCGCGUCUGAUUAGAUAGUUGGUGGGGUAACGGCCUACCAAGUCGACGAUCAGUAGCCGGACUGAGAGGUUGAUCGGCCACAUUGGGACUGAGAUACGGCCCAGACUCCUACGGGAGGCAGCAGUGGGGAAUAUUGGGCAAUGGGGGAAACCCUGACCCAGCAACGCCGCGUGAAGGAAGAAGGCCUUCGGGUUGUAAACUUCUUUUACCAGGGACGAAGAACGUGACGGUACCUGGAGAAAAAGCCACGGCUAACUACGUGCCAGCCGCCGCGGUAAAAC